UACGGAGGAUCCAAGCGUUAUCCGGAUUCAUUGGGUUUAAAGGGUCCGUAGGCGGGUCUUUAAGUCAGUGGUGAAAGCCGACAGCUCAACUGUCGAACUGCCAUUGAUACUGGAGACCUUGAGUACAAAUGAAGUAGGCGGAAUGAGUCAUGUAGCGGUGAAAUGCAUAGAUAUGACUCAGAACACCGAUUGCGAAGGCAGCUUACUAACAUGUAACUGACGCUGAGGGACGAAAGCGUGGGGAGCGAACAGG
rnacentral:rRNA from 1 species